GACGAACGCUGGCGGCGUGCUUAACACAUGCAAGUCGAACGGGCCUGUCUUCUUUUUUGGGGGUGGGUUGAGUGGCGAACGGGUGAGUAUCACGUGAGUAACCUGCCCUUCGGUCCUGGAUAACCGCUUGAAAGGGCGGCUAAUACGGGGUGGUCCGGUUGGUCCGCAUGGGCUGGUCGGGAUAGAUUCACUGUUUUUGGUGUUUCGGCGGGGGAUGGGCUCGCGGCCUAUCAGCUUGUUGGUGGGGUGAUGGCCUACCAAGGCGGUGACGGGUAGCCGGCCUGGGAGGGUGGGCGGCCGCACUGGGACUGGGAUACGGCCCAGACUCCUGCGGGAGGCAGUAGUGGGGGGUAUUGCGCAGUGGUCGGAAGCCUGAUGCAGCGACGUCGCGUGAGGGAUGGAGGCCUUCGGGUUGUGAACCUCUGUUUCCGGUGGUGAAGGCCCUGUCCGUGUGGUGGGGUUGACGGUAGCCGGGGAUGAAGCGCCGGCUAACUACGUG
rnacentral:rRNA from 1 species